GGGCCCGCACAAGCGGUGGAGCAUGUGGCUUAAUUCGAGGCAACGCGAAGAACCUUACCUGGUCUUGACAUGCCCGUCAUAGUUUUCCGAAAGGAAUUCGUCAGUUCGGCUGGACGGUGCACAGGUGCUGCAUGGCUGUCGUCAGCUCGUGUCGUGAGAUGUUCGGUUAAGUCCGGCAACGAGCGCAACCCUCGUUCCUAGUUGCCAGCGGGUAAUGCCGGGGACUCUAGGAAGACAAACCUCGUGUAGAGGUGGGAAGGUGGGGACGACGUCAAGUCAGUAUGGCCCUUACGACCAGGGCUGCACACGUGCUACAAUGCCCAGCACAAUGGGAUGCAACGCCGCGAGGUUGAGCAAAUCCACAAAACUGGGCCCAGUUCGGAUUGGAGUCUGCAACUCGACUCCAUGAAGUUGGAAUCGCUAGUAAUGGC
rnacentral:rRNA from 1 species